rnacentral:rRNA from 1 species
AUAUCAAUAAGCGGAGGAAAAGAAACCAACAGGGAUUGCCCCAGUAACGGCGAGUGAAGCGGCAACAGCUCAAAUUUGAAAUCUGGCCCCUCGGGCCCGAGUUGUAAUUUGUAGAGGAUGCUUUUGGCAAGGUGCCGCCCGAGUUCCCUGGAACGGGACGCCGCAGAGGGUGAGAGCCCCGUCUGGCUGGCCACCGAGCCUCUGUAAAGCUCCUUCGACGAGUCGAGUAGUUUGGGAAUGCUGCUCAAAAUGGGAGGUAUAUGUCUUCUAAAGCUAAAUAUUGGCCAGAGACCGAUAGCGCACAAGUAGAGUGAUCGAAAGAUGAAAAGCACUUUGAAAAGAGGGUUAAACAGUACGUGAAAUUGUUGAAAGGGAAGCGCUCAUGACCAGACUUGGGCUUGGCGAAUCAUCCGGCGUUCUCGCCGGUGCACUUCGCCUCGCCCAGGCCAGCAUCAGUUCGCGCCGGGGGACAAAAGCUUCGGGAAUGUGGCUCCUCCGGGAGUGUUAUAGCCCGUUGCAUAAUACCCUGGUGCGGACUGAGGUUCGCGCAUCUGCAAGGAUGCUGGCGUAAUGGUCAUCAGCGACCCGUCUUGAAACACGGACCAAGGAGUCGUCUUCGUAUGCGAGUGUUCGGGUGUCAAACCCCUACGCGUAAUGAAAGUGAACGCAGGUGAGAGCUUCGGCGCAUCAUCGACCGAUCCUGAUGUUCUCGGAUGGAUUUGAGUAAGAGCAUACGGGGCCGGACCCGAAAGAAGGUGAACUAUGCCUGUAUAGGGUGAAGCCAGAGGAAACUCUGGUGGAGGCUCGCAGCGGUUCUGACGUGCAAAUCGAUCGUCAAAUAUGGGCAUGGGGGCGAAAGACUAAUCGAACCUUCUAGUAGCUGGUUUCCGC